rnacentral:lncRNA from 1 species
GAAUUGCUGAAGUUGUGAAGGUUGAUGCUGUGAAUGCGCUCGGUCAUCCCCUUGCAACUGAUGUCACCUGCAGCAUGUCAACGCAGACACAAAACAGGGCAUGGGUCAGAUCUAGCUGGUUGCAUUCCUAACACCUAGGUUUCAGAGUAAAAAUACAGAGUCAGCUUGUGAUGGCAUUCCCUCAAAACAUGGAAGGAAUUGCAGUAAUGAAAGUCAUCAUGUAUUCUAAGAGACUGUUCUGCGAGAGCACAACACAGACGGGGCUAAAGCAGGGAUUGUCUAAGCCCAGUGUGGAGGAACCAUCAAGGAUUUCAGCACGUUUUUUUAGCCAUUGUGAGAAGCAAAAGUGCUCAGGAGUUAAGAGAAGCAGACGUCCGAAAUUAUCUCCAUGCAUUACCAAAAACCGUGGGCACCACGGCACGGGGAAAACUUACCAGGUACAAUGAGCCAGUGACUGUUACUGAAUUUCUUAAGAUUACACUUUUCCCAACUACUGCAGACUGCUUCAGAAUAGAAGAAGACAACUCUCAUGCCAUCAAGCCGACGGACUUUCAAAAAAAUAAAAGAUGCAUUUCUUUACUUGGCCCAUGAGAAGUAAAAGCAGGCACUGGCAUUCUGCACAGAUGAAAUACUUCCUACGACAGGAAUACAUGCUCACUUGUGGACUUCUCUGUAAUCUGUAGGCAACAUCAGCUCCUGAUUUCUAGGUCUGGAUCUGGGUUCUCUGUAGCACAGGAAGGUCUCUACUUCUCCUACAUAAAUGCCUUGCAUGGCGGGAACUAAAUCAACUACACAGACCCAUACAUCCAGAGAGCAGAGGUGAGCUGGAUACAAGUGGCUUAGAGAUGUGGUGGAAGGAGGCCAGAGCUCCAAGGGAAGGGCAGCAAGGAGACAACAGCAUGGGUUGCAGCUCAGACAACAGGUAAAUAAAACCAAGCAAAGCUGCUGGUCACAGAUUUGACCAGGGUGGCAAGAAAUGACAAGCUACCAUGAGAUUCAACAGUGGCACGGAAGGAUGAUGAGAAGCAAACAGAUUAGGAGAAGCUGCCACCACCGUACAUAGAGGCACAGAUGACCAAGCAGAACAGCACCAGUCCCUGCAAGGUGUGCUCAGAUACAGCUCAGCACAGCCAUCUGGCCAGGAGGGAAUGAUAAUGCACAUGGUGUGCACUGCAGCCGGGAAGUUGAGAACCGCUGUGGGCACCUCAGGACUGAGUCUGGUUACCCUGCUGAUCCAAGAAAUGAAGCCAUCUAAAAUUUUGCCUGCUUUCACAAUUUUCUGUGUGUGUGUGUGUGUAUUAAACAAAGUGAACUAAGAAGC